UUGUUUUCAUCUUCUCUUCUAUUGAUUGAUUGAAAUGAUUUAGUGGUAAACGAAUGAAAAUUCAAUUCAAAAGUCAAUUGAGUUGGUGAAUUUGUGCCAAAUGGAAUCAUGUUUAUCGAUUAGAAUGUGGUGUUUUGUUGUGGUCGAGAAUUAAUCGCGUUAAUUGUGGCUGAUAAUCUAUUUGAGAGUAGAUUUUGGUUCCCCUGUUUGAAUUAUUCCAACUAUGGUUGAUUUGAAAAAGUGGAGAUUUAAGUUGGACUUUCAUACUUUUUUUUACAAAUCUAUUGGCAGAUGAACAAUUAAGUUUGAUUCUUUUGGUCUAUUGACUAUCUCAUCGGAAUCAAUUUUCGUUUGCAACUCUCACGAGAAUCUCGAUCAUUCGAUGAUUGGAUUUAUCGUCUCAUCGUUUAAUGGUCUUUAAUUGUGACCAUUAAAGGUGACGAUAUUCCAUUCGUUCCAGAAAAAUUACCUUAAAAACACUUAAUUGGUAACAUGGUCGAUUUGGAGCCAUUUCAAAGAUGAACUUGGUGUUUCCAAACAAUUUACCAUGAAAAAAAUUCAAUACUAAUCUUAAUCAAGGUUUAAAA